rnacentral:rRNA from 1 species
UCAUGGCUCAGGACAAACGCUGGCGGCGUGCUUAACACAUGCAAGUCGAACGGAGUACCCGGAAUUGAAGCUUCGGCCGAUUUUCUGGAAUACUUAGUGGCGGACGGGUGAGUAACACGUGAGUAACCUGCCCUUGAGUGGGGAAUAACACACCGAAAGGUGUGCUAAUACCGCAUAACAUAUGGAGUUCGCAUGAACAUCAUAUCAAAGAUUUAUUGCUCAAGGAUGGGCUCGCGUCCGAUUAGGUAGUUGGUGAGGUAACGGCUCACCAAGCCGACGAUCGGUAGCCGGACUGAGAGGUUGAACGGGCCAACAUUGGGACUGAGACACGGCCCAGACUCCUACGGGAGGCAGCAGUGGGGAAUAUUGCACAAUGGGGGAAACCCUGAUGCAGCGACGCCGCGUGAAGGAUGAAGGUCUUCGGAUCGUAAACUUUUGUCUUCAGGGACGAUAAUGACGGUACCUGAGGAGGAAGCCACGGCUAACUACGUG